UUGACCUCGGAUCAGGUAGGGAUACCCGCUGAACUUAAGCAUAUCAAUAAGCGGAGGAAAAGAAACCAACAGGGAUUGCCCUAGUAACGGCGAGUGAAGCGGCAACAGCUCAAAUUUGAAAUCUGGCUCUUUUAGAGUCCGAGUUGUAAUUUGCAGAGGGCGCUUUGGCUUUGGCAGCGGUCCAAGUUCCUUGGAACAGGACGUCACAGAGGGUGAGAAUCCCGUACGUGGUCGCUGGCUAUUGCCGUGUAAAGCCCCUUCGACGAGUCGAGUUGUUUGGGAAUGCAGCUCUAAAUGGGAGGUACAUUUCUUCUAAAGCUAAAUAUUGGCCAGAGACCGAUAGCGCACAAGUAGAGUGAUCGAAAGAUGAAAAGCACUUUGGAAAGAGAGUCAAACAGCACGUGAAAUUGUUGAAAGGGAAGCGCUUGCAGCCAGACUUGCUUGCAGUUGCUCAUCCGGGCUUUUGCCCGGUGCACUCUUCUGCAGGCAGGCCAGCAUCAGUUUGGGCGGUAGGAUAAAGGUCUCUGUCACGUACCUCUCUUCGGGGAGGCCUUAUAGGGGAGACGACAUACUACCAGCCUGGACUGAGGUCCGCGCAUCUGCUAGGAUGCUGGCGUAAUGGCUGUAAACGGCCCGUCUUGAAACACGGACCAAGGAGUCUAACAUCUAUGCGAGUGUUUGGGUGUCAAGCCCGAGCGCGUAAUGAAAGUGAACGGAGGUAGGAACCCGCAAGGGUGCACUAUCGACCGAUCCUGAUGUCUUCGGAAGGAUUUGAGUAAGAGCAUGGCUGUUGGGACCCGAAAGAUGGUGAACUAUGCUUGAAUAGGGUGAAGCCAGAGGAAACUCUGGUGGAGGCUCGCACCGGUUCUGACGUGCAAAUCGAUCGUCAAAUUUGGGCAUAGGGGCGAAAGACUAAUCGAACUAUCUAGUAGCUG
rnacentral:rRNA from 1 species